AUGAACGCUAGCGACAGGCCUAACACAUACAAGUCGAGGGGCAGCACAAGGAGCAAUCUGAGGUGGCGACCGGCGCACGGGUGAGUAACACGUAUGCAACCUGCCUGUAAGCGGGGAAUAACCCGUUGAAAGACGGACUAAUACCGCAUAAUACUAAAUUACUGCAUGGUAAUUUAUUUAAACAUUUAUGGCUUACAGAUGGGCAUGCGCAUGAUUAGCUAGUUGGAGAGGUAACGGCUCCCCAAGGCAACGAUCAUUAGGGGUUCUGAGAGGAAGGUCCCCCACACUGGUACUGAGACACGGACCAGACUCCUACGGGAGGCAGCAGUGAGGAAUAUUGGUCAAUGGACGAGAGUCUGAACCAGCCAAGUCGCGUGCAGGAAGAAUGUCCUAUUGGAUUGUAAACUGCUUUUGCAGGGGAAUAAAGUGCAUCACGUGUGAUGUUUUGUAUGUACUCUGCGAAUAAGGAUCGGCUAACUCCGUGCCAGCAGCUGC
rnacentral:rRNA from 1 species